rnacentral:rRNA from 1 species
UACGUAGGUGGCGAGCGUUGUCCGGAUUUACUGGGCGUAAAGAGCGUGUAGGCGGCCAGGUAGGUCUGCUGUGAAAACUCGAGGCUCAACCUCGAGACGUCGGCGGAAACCAUCUGGCUAGAGUCCGGAAGAGGAGAGUGGAAUUCCGGGUGUAGCGGUGAAAUGCGCAGAUAUCAGGAAGAACACCAAUGGCGAAGGCAGCUCUCUGGGACGGUACUGACGCUGAGACGCGAAAGCGUGGGGAGCGAACAGG